AGAGUUUGAUCCUGGCUCAGGACGAACGCUGGCGGCGUGCUUAACACAUGCAAGUCGAGCGGAAAGGCCCUUCGGGGUACUCGAGCGGCGAACGGGUGAGUAACACGUGAGUAACCUGCCCCUAGCUCCGGGAUAGCUCCGGGAAACCGGAAUUAAUACCGGAUAUGAUCACGGCCGACAUCGGCCGUGAUGGAAAGAUUUAUCGGCCAGGGAUGGGCUCGCGGCCUAUCAGCUUGUUGGUGGGGUAACAGCCUACCAAGGCGACGACGGGUAGCCGGCCUGAGAGGGCGACCGGCCACACUGGGACUGAGACACGGCCCAGACUCCUACGGGAGGCAGCAGUGGGGAAUACUGCGCAAUGGGCGAAAGUCUGACGCAGCGACGCCGCGUGGGGGAUGAAGGCCUUCGGGUUGUAAACCCCUUUCGGCAGGGACGAAGCGAAAGUGACGGUACCUGCAGAAGAAGCGCCGGCUAACUACGUGCCAGCAGCCGCGGUAACACGUAGGGCGCAAGCGUUGUCCGGAAUCAUUGGGCGUAAAGAGCUCGUAGGCGGUCCGUUGCGUCCGCUGUGAAAACUCGGGGCUUAACCCCGAGCUUGCAGUGGAUACGGGCAGACUAGAGGUAGGUAGGGGAGAAUGGAAUUCCCGGUGUAGCGGUGAAAUGCGCAGAUAUCGGGAGGAACACCGGUGGCGAAGGCGGUUCUCUGGGCCUUACCUGACGCUGAGGAGCGAAAGCGUGGGGAGCGAACAGGAUUAGAUACCCUGGUAGUCCACGCCGUAAACGUUGGGCGCUAGGUGUGGGGUCCUUCCACGGACUCCGUGCC
rnacentral:rRNA from 1 species